rnacentral:rRNA from 1 species
GACGAACGCUGGCGGCGUGCUUAACACAUGCAAGUCGAACGGAAAGGCCCUUCGGGGUACUCGAGUGGCGAACGGGUGAGUAACACGUGGGUGAUCUGCCCUGCACUUUGGGAUAAGCCUGGGAAACUGGGUCUAAUACCGAAUAGGACCACGCGCUUCAUGGUGUGUGGUGGAAAGCUUUUGCAGUGUGGGAUGGGCCCGCGGCCUAUCAGCUUGUUGGUGGGGUAAUGGCCUACCAAGGCGACGACGGGUAGCCGGCCUGAGAGGGUGACCGGCCACACUGGGACUGAGAUACGGCCCAGACUCCUACGGGAGGCAGCAGUGGGGAAUAUUGCACAAUGGGCGCAAGCCUGAUGCAGCGACGCCGCGUGAGGGAUGACGGCCUUCGGGUUGUAAACCUCUUUCAAUAGGGACGAAGCGCAAGUGACGGUACCUAUAGAAGAAGCACCGGCCAACUACGUG